AGAAGGGAGCUUGCUCCCGGAUGUUAGCGGCGGACGGGUGAGUAACACGUGGGUAACCUGCCUGUAAGACUGGGAUAACUCCGGGAAACCGGAGCUAAUACCGGAUAGUUCCUUGAACCGCAUGGUUCAAGGAUGAAAGACGGUUUCGGCUGUCACUUACAGAUGGACCCGCGGCGCAUUAGCUAGUUGGUGAGGUAACGGCUCACCAAGGCGACGAUGCGUAGCCGACCUGAGAGGGUGAUCGGCCACACUGGGACUGAGACACGGCCCAGACUCCUACGGGAGGCAGCAGUAGGGAAUCUUCCGCAAUGGACGAAAGUCUGACGGAGCAACGCCGCGUGAGUGAUGAAGGUUUUCGGAUCGUAAAGCUCUGUUGUUAGGGAAGAACAAGUGCAAGAGUAACUGCUUGCACCUUGACGGUACCUAACCAGAAAGCCACGGCUAACUACGUGCCAGCAGCCGCGGUAAUACGUAGGUGGCAAGCGUUGUCCGGAAUUAUUGGGCGUAAAGGGCUCGCAGGCGGUUUCUUAAGUCUGAUGUGAAAGCCCCCGGCUCAACCGGGGAGGGUCAUUGGAAACUGGGAAACUUGAGUGCAGAAGAGGAGAGUGGAAUUCCACGUGUAGCGGUGAAAUGCGUAGAGAUGUGGAGGAACACCAGUGGCGAAGGCGACUCUCUGGUCUGUAACUGACGCUGAGGAGCGAAAGCGUGGGGAGCGAACAGGAUUAGAUACCCUGGUAGUCCACGCCGUAAACGAUGAGUGCUAAGUGUUAGGGGGUUUCCGCCCCUUAGUGCUGCAGCUAACGCAUUAAGCACUCCGCCUGGGGAGUACGGUCGCAAGACUGAAACUCAAAGGAAUUGACGGGGGCCCGCACAAGCGGUGGAGCAUGUGGUUUAAUUCGAAGCAACGCGAAGAACCUUACCAGGUCUUGACAUCCUCUGACAACCCUAGAGAUAGGGCUUUCCCUUCGGGGACAGAGUGACAGGUGGUGCAUGGUUGUCGUCAGCUCGUGUCGUGAGAUGUUGGGUUAAGUCCCGCAACGAGCGCAACCCUUGAUCUUAGUUGCCAGCAUUCAGUUGGGCACUCUAAGGUGACUGCCGGUGACAAACCGGAAGAAGGUGGGGAUGACGUCAAAUCAUCAUGCCCCUUAUGACCUGGGCUACACACGUGCUACAAUGGACAGAACAAAGGGCUGCGAGACCGCAAGGUUUAGCCAAUCCCACAAAUCUGUUCUCAGUUCGGAUCGCAUUCUGCAACUCGACUGCGUGAAGCUGGAAUCGCUAGUAAUCGCGGAUCACCAUGCCGCGGUGAAUACGUUCCCGGGCCUUGUACACACCGCCCGUCACACCACGAGAGUUUGCAACACCCGA
rnacentral:rRNA from 1 species